UAAGGCUGAGCUGUGAUGGGGAGAAGACAUUGUGUCUUCGAGUCGUUGAUUUCACACUGCCGAGAAAAGCCUCUAGAUAGAAAAUAGGUGCCCGUACCGCAAACCGACACAGGUAGUCAAGAUGAGAAUUCUAAGGUGAGCGAGCGAACUCUCGUUAAGGAACUCGGCAAAAUGACCCCGUAACUUCGGGAGAAGGGGUGCUCUUUAGGGUUAACGCCCAGAAGAGCCGCAGUGAAUAGGCCCAAGCGACUGUUUAUCAAAAACACAGGUCUCUGCUAAACCGUAAGGUGAUGUAUAGGGGCUGACGCCUGCCCGGUGCUGGAAGGUUAAGAGGAGUGGUUAGCUUCUGCGAAGCUACGAAUCGAAGCCCCAGUAAACGGCGGCCGUAACUAUAACGGUCCUAAGGUAGCGAAAUUCCUUGUCGGGUAAGUUCCGACCCGCACGAAAGGCGUAACGAUUUGGGCACUGUCUCAACGAGAGACUCGGUGAAAUCAUAGUACCUGUGAAGAUGCAGGUUACCCGCGACAGGACGGAAAGACCCCGUGGAGCUUUACUGU
rnacentral:rRNA from 1 species